rnacentral:snRNA from 2 species
AUCUUUGCGCUUGGGGCAAUGACGCAGCUAAUGAGGUUCUAACCGAGGCGCGUCUAUUGCUGGUUGAAAACUAUUUCCAAACCCCCUCCUAGGCCUAAGCUUGUCUUAGGCCUUCGAGAAUUUCUGGAAGGGCUCCCUUUGGGGUAAAGCC